GAGGAAGGGGGUGACACAGUGGGGAAGGGGGUGACACAGUGACAGAGUGAGGGAGGGGGUGACUAGUGACAGAGUGAAGGAGGUGGUGACUGUCACUAGUCACCCCAUCCCUCCCUCUGUCACUAAUCACCACCUCCCUCACUCUGUCACUAGUCACCCCUUCCCUCCCUCACUCUGUCACUAGUCACCCCAUCCCUCCCUCUGUCACUAAUCACCACCUCCCUCACUCUGUCACUAGUCACCCCUUCCCUCCCUCACUCUGUCACUAGUCACCCCUUCCCUC